rnacentral:sRNA from 1 species
GUCAGGCCGUUCGCGGCGCCGGAACGGACCGCUGCGCGAUGCCCGCAGUCGCUUCGGGCUUUUGACCACGGAUCUACUUGCACGGGUGUGAAAAGCGAUGACGAGAAGGUCGGUGAUUUCGGCCCGGGCCUUGUUUAUU